CACGCCGUAAACGAUGAUGGCUGGAUGUUGGCGAUACACAGUCAGCGUCUGAGCGAAAGCAUUAAGCCAUCCACCUGGGGAGUACGGCCGCAAGGCUGAAACUCAAAGGAAUUGACGGGGGCCCGCACAAGCGGAGGAACAUGUGGUUUAAUUCGAUGAUACGCGAGGAACCUUACCCGGGCUAGAACGCAGCUGGAGUGCACCGGAAACGGUGCAGCCCUUCGGGGCCGGCUGCGAGGUGC
rnacentral:rRNA from 1 species